UAUGAGGUGGCCGAGAGGUUAAAGGCGAUGGACUGCUAAUCCAUUGUGCUCUGCGCGCUGGGUUGGAGUCCCACCCUCAUCG
rnacentral:tRNA from 1 species